GGCAGAGGGACUGAGACCGCUUGGGUCACAAGAUAAUAACAGAACCAUGCCACAGGAGUCCCUGUCAGCUGUGGCCAAAGUCUCCCUCUGACAGAUGAGCAGUGGUCAUAAAGACAGUUAUGACUUGUGUACAAUCUGGCAAGCUUGUCUCUCUCGGCAGCGGAUAUCAAACUCAAGUGUUCAG
rnacentral:lncRNA from 1 species